UGCCUACGGGGGGCAGCAGUGAGGAAUAUUGGUCAAUGGGCGCGAGCCUGAACCAGCCAAGUCGCGUGAGGGAGGACGGCCCUACGGGUUGUAAACCUCUUUUGCCGGGGAGCAACGGGCGUCACGUGUGGCGCCACUGAGAGUACCCGGAGAAAAAGCAUCGGCUAACUCCGUGCCAGCAGCCGCGGUAAUACGGAGGAUGCGAGCGUUAUCCGGAUUUAUUGGGUUUAAAGGGUGCGUAGGCGGAUUUUUAAGUCAGCGGUAAAAUGUCCGGGCUCAACCCGGGCCGGCCGUUGAAACUGGGG
rnacentral:rRNA from 1 species